rnacentral:sRNA from 2 species
GCAUCCAAAAGAGUGUGCUUACAUAAUUACUGACUAAUACUACCUUGCCCCAGACUCUGACGUUGCCAAUUUGACUCUUGGGAUACUUUAUCACCAGUUUUAAUCUGUAUUUUGGUAGGAUUCCUGACGACGUCCGUUAUGUUUUCUGAUUUUAGCAAUGGCACGGAAAUUGCCCGAAUCCUACGCGUCCCCAGACAUUACACUCGUCAACCUCACACAUCUUCUUGCUCGCCUCGAAAACAACCUCAUAUCUCCAUCUGCAGAUCUCAAACUUGUACAUCGAUCCCCCUACCAUCGAGCUAGAGUUGGCGCUAAUAUCGAGUACUCGCGGACCCUGCUCAUGAAACUCGAACUCUCCCUCCCAAACAUCAAAAUCCAAGCUCGCAAAGUCUCUCUCCAGACAAACCUUGCCCAUAAACGGCAACAAAUUAAGGCUCUUAAAGCCCGGCUAGAUGAAAUCACAGCCAUAGCCGAAGCGGAGCCAGAUACUCAGACAUUCUCGUCGGACAAUGAAGAAGAUUUACUACCAACACCAAGCGAUAGCACACCAGAAACCACAUCUCCGCCGCCGCCAAAAUGUGCAGAUCUAGCGCCAACGAAGGAAGAAGAAACAAAAGAUGACGAGGAAGUAGACCAAAGCGAAGAAGGCCAGACUACCCAAGAAGGUAGACAC